GCUGCGCACUCCAGCAGCACACAUACUAAAACUGGAACGAUACAGAGAACAUUAGCAUGACCCCUGCGCAAGGAUGACACACAAAAUCUUUUUAAAAAUUCAC
ensembl:snRNA U6 U6 spliceosomal RNA